GCUCAGAGUGCGCGGGGCGGCGCGCGGCGUGCGGUCGCGGGAGCUGCCCAGGCGCGGGAGCCGGCUGGCGGGGCUCUCCCCGGACCGCCUCAGGGUCUGCGAGCGCGCCGCCAGGGCCAGCCUGAGGGGCCACCUGGCCGCACCGGCGCCCGCCCGGAGCGCGGGAGCCGCGUCCCGGACGCCGCGGCCGCCAGCGCCGGGCACCCGGCGGCCACCGGGGACUGGGGCUGAGCGGCCGGUUCCCGCCCCUGUGGCGCCGCCGCUGCCGCCGCCCGGCCGCCCGCCCGGCUUGGCCGCCGCCGCCGCGGCGUCUGGCCCCGGGGUCCGGGCCGCGGGCGGGGUCGGGGGUUGCGGGGCCGCCGCUGCUGCCCGCGCGCCUCGGGUUCGCAUCCCGGGCCCCGGACGGCCGCCGAGCAUGGAGGAGAAGUAUCUGCCGGAGCUGAUGGCGGAGAAGGACUCCCUGGACCCUUCCUUCACGCACGCCCUGCGGCUGGUGAACCAAGAAAUAGAAAAGUUUCAAAAAGGAGAAGGCAAGGAUGAAGAAAAGUACAUUGAUGUGGUGAUUAAUAAGAACAUGAAGCUGGGACAGAAAGUGUUAAUUCCUGUAAAACAGUUCCCUAAGUUCAACUUUGUGGGGAAACUUUUGGGUCCACGUGGCAAUUCUCUGAAGCGUUUGCAAGAAGAAACCUUGACAAAAAUGUCCAUCCUUGGAAAAGGUUCCAUGAGAGACAAAACAAAGGAAGAAGAGUUGAGGAAAAGUGGAGAAGCAAAGUACUUCCACCUCAAUGAUGAUCUCCAUGUGCUCAUUGAAGUGUUUGCCCCACCAGCGGAAGCUUAUGCCCGCAUGGGACAUGCUUUGGAAGAAAUCAAAAAGUUCCUCAUCCCUGACUAUAAUGAUGAGAUCAGGCAAGCACAGCUCCAGGAGUUAACAUAUUUGAAUGGUGGUUCAGAAAAUGCAGAUGUUCCAGUGGUUCGAGGGAAACCUACCUUGCGUACCAGAAGUGUACCAACCCCUGCAAUCACCAGGGGGAGAGGAGGAGUCACAGCCCGGCCAGUUGGAGUUGGUGUCCCCCGAGGGACACCAGCUGCCAGGGGAGUCCUUUCCACCCGAGGGCCAGUGAGUCGAGGAAGAGGACUUCUCACUCCGAGAGCAAGAGGUGUUCCCCCAACGGGGUACAGACCUCCACCGCCACCUCCAACACAGGAGACCUAUGGAGAGUAUGACUAUGAUGAUGGAUAUGGCACUGCUUAUGAUGAACAGAGUUAUGAUUCCUAUGAUAACAGCUACAGCACCCCAGCACAAAGUGGUGCUGAUUACUAUGAUUAUGGACACGGGCUCAGUGAGGAGACCUACGAUUCCUAUGGGCAAGAGGAGUGGACUAACUCAAGACACAAGGCACCUUCAGCGAGGACAGCGAAGGGAGUCUACAGAGACCAGCCAUAUGGCAGAUACUGAUUGUACUGUCUGAUGUUGUGAAAUAGCCAAUCUCCACCAGUCCUGUAUACUGUUCAAAGAGACAUCUGUCGUCUUGGAAUGUGGGAGGAACUGGUGCACACCUGGAAGGAAGGAAUGUGCCCUCUGUUUAUGGACUUCUUAAGAAUAGUCACCUCACCAGCGUGCCUAGUCAGUAAAGAAUCUACUUGGGACCUUGAAAAUCAUCUUAGUUUAAUUUUUUUUCCAACCAAAUUUGUGUUCUGUGAAAUGUUUUUAUAAAAUGGUAUGUAUUUCAAUUUGGAAAUCCUGUUUUUGAAAAAAAAAAUUUAUUGUCUCCUAAUAACAAAAGACAAUGAUUUGUGUAAUAAUUAAUAAAAACUGCCCACUGUGCCCAUCAGAGGUCUUCCACUCCACUAGAAAGUGAGAAAAAAAAUCUGUUUAUGUCAGCACAACUUUUAAGUGUUAUACACUUGAGAACCAACUACAGGUGCAACUCACUGCAAGAAAUCAAGGUUCUUCUACACCUUUUCUCAUUUGUCCAUCUCCAAUAAACACAAAAGUGUAAAGCAGAAUAUGCUGUCACCUAAAGGAUUAAUUAUAGAGGUUUUCUUCAAGAAGCAAAAUGAUAUGGGAUAGCAGCCUGAUUUUUCAUGCCUCCCUGUAAUUUGUCACGGCACAUAAAGGUCGUAAUCCCUGCAGACGGUAUUGUUCUGUUUGUUCUCUUUUCCUCAUUUACUCUAAAUCACGCAUUGUGAACUGAAUUCAGUUUGCCUCAGGAGGAUGUGUUUCAUUUCUUUGGCUGGAAGCUCACCCGUGUUUCCCACUCUUGGAAUGUCAAGAACAGUCCUACCCAUUGUUUUGUCACUUUCUUACCUUAAAGAGACAUUUCCUCAAGGCAUUUACUUUUUACAGUGAACCACGUCUGGAACAUUGUGUUAACCAUAGAAUAACACUGAAUAGCUUAGCUUUUGCCUGUCUUCUUAUGGUAGAUCUUAAAAACAGCUGAAUACAUGUUUCUCUAUCCCAGAAAUGCAUGGACUGUAAACCUGCAUGUUAAAACAGCGGUGAGCAGGAGCACCAGGCUCACGAAGGCUGUGUGUGGGCAGUUGAGGGACAAUUCAGAGAACACUUCUGUUUGGAAUUAAUUUUAAAUGAACAGAAACUUUAGAAAAAAUCCAGAAUAUGGUAAAUGGAAAAGAAUUUGAACUCUGUUUUUGUUUGCAUCCUUUCCACCUGCUAAGUCACUGAUAAAAUUGUAAGCCUACAAGUAAAAUCCCAUCCAAUCA